GACGAACGCUGGCGGCGUGCUUAGCACAUGCAAGUCGAGCGGUAAGGCCUUUCGGGGUACACGAGCGGCGAACGGGUGAGCAACACGUGGGUGAUCUGCCCUGCACUUCGGGAUAAGCCUGGGAAACUGGGUCUAAUACCGGAUAUGACCUCCUAUCGCAUGGUGGGUGGUGGAAAGAUUUAUCGGUGCAGGAUGGGCCCGCGGCCUAUCAGCUUGUUGGUGGGGUAAUGGCCUACCAAGGCGACGACGGGUAGCCGACCUGAGAGGGUGACCGGCCACACUGGGACUGAGACACGGCCCAGACUCCUACGGGAGGCAGCAGUGGGGAAUAUUGCACAAUGGGCGAAAGCCUGAUGCAGCGACGCCGCGUGAGGGAUGACGGCCUUCGGGUUGUAAACCUCUUUCAGCAGGGACGAAGCGCAAGUGACGGUACCUGCAGAAGAAGCACCGGCUAACUACGUG
rnacentral:rRNA from 1 species